UACGUAGGGGGCAAGCGUUGUCCGGAAUUAUUGGGCGUAAAGCGUGCGCAGGCGGUGAUGUAAGAACAGGGUGUGAAAUCCCCGGGCUUAACCUGGGAACUGCAUUUGUGACUGCAUGGCUAGAGUGCGGCAGAGGGGGGAUGGAAUUCCGCGUGUAGCAGUGAAAUGCGUAGAUAUGGCGGAGGAACACCGAUGGCGAAGGCAAUCCCCAUGG
rnacentral:rRNA from 1 species